AAGUUCCCAAAACAACCCCUGAGUACCAUCAUCAUCGUCGUCUCGUCUUUAGGUCACCGUUCUAAAUACGCCACCGCCACCGAUUUCAUAGAUCGUUUCUUCCUACUCUCAGCUUCUUAUCUUGCUCGCUCCAAUCCGGUCGACUCUUCCUCUGCCUUCCAGUUCAUUCCAUCUUUCCAAUUGAUUGUUCGCCACAGUCUCCUAUAGUCUCAUAUUUCAGUCCAGUUCAUCGACUCCCACAAUAUCGAUUCCUCUCACUACAUACAUCUCCGCCAUCUACCACUAAUUGAAAAAGAUUGACGCGUUUCCAAUCAUUCAACAACCGACGACAGCUUCACGAUUUUGAGGUUUUUGGCUUCAAUUUUUAAGGUAUGUGAAGUUCUAUAGCCACGAUUUUCAUCUUUCUGGAUCGAUUUUGUCUGCAACUGCUCCACCACCUCGCCACCGCCGGUGAUGCAACAUCGGAAGCUUCUUUCAAGAAAACCAUUGCUACAAAAAAACCCUAAAUUCAAGAACGAGGAUGUUUGCCACUGCUCAAUCAAAUCCUAAAUCACGUCUCUUCCUACUUUGCUUCACUAAAGUCACGUUUGUCAGAUUCGUCAAAUCCGACAACGAUCCGGUGUUUACGGUAGACGAAGGUCUUUCUCCAGAAAUCUGUUGGAAUUAUCAGGGAUUCAAAAUAAGUUAACUGUGAUUUCAUUCACAAUUUUAGGAGUUUAUUACAAUUUUGUUACCUUUGACAAUGAUGAAUAUAUCGAAGAUGUUGCGUCUCACACUGAUGGUCAAACCUCUGUUACUAAAUUGGUUUGAAUGACAGUUCUCAAAUGGCUAUGCCUUUAUUACCGGUAUGAUUCAUUUCCUCUGAAGAUAAAAUUCUGAGCCACUCAUGAUUGCAACUAUAUCUCAUUAAUGUGAGUAUUGAAUUCAUUCAAUUAAGGAAGUUGAUGAAUUCGCAGUUAUGGCACAUGUGUGCUGGUCCUUUAGUCUCUUUACCUCAAAUUGGAAGCCUCAUGGUCUAUUUUCCACAAGCCCACAAUGAGCAACUUGCAUCAUGAUGCGAACCUGAUGAAGUUUAUGCAUAGAUGACUCUUCAACCCCUAACUAAACUAGUAUGAUCAACAAGCAUUACUUAUGUGUGAAAUGGUUUUGAAGUAAAACAAGCACCCAGCUGCAAAAACACAUGUUCCGAAUACUCACUUGAAGCGCAAGCUGCUACAUGGCAGGCUUGGCUAUAUAUUGGCUUAUCCAGAUUUAGUAACAUGGUUCGUUUUGGAGUGGCUGGCCUUAAAUUAAGGCGUGGGUAUGCUCGAUCACAACCAGGAGAGCCAAUCCAUCACUGCAACAUUGGAGUUUGCCAUGUCAUUAAGAGACGGUUCGAUAAAUCUUUCAAAUUCUCAGAAUUGUCAACUCUCUACAAGAUCAAACGCAAGUGUAAAGAGAAGUUUAGGCUAGAGGCUUCAGUUGUUGUUGGAUGGAGAAAGAAACACCAAAAAAUGGCUCCAGAAGGAGAGAUUAUGGUACUUUAUUUUAGAAAUAAUUUAUUACAUUUGAUAUCUACAGGCAUGAAUUAAAAGCACAGAGGGAGAGAAUCUUUCAAAUUGAUGACUACAAUGUUUAAAGCUAGAUACUUUUUCCAACAACUUAUGUCGGGAGUUCAGUACUACCAUUUCCUGGAGAUUGGUUGAGUGGUCUCAAUUGCUAUACUAACCAUAUAAAUCGAAAUAUUAACAUGUGAUCAAUUGGAAAUUUCGGCAACAAGGGCAGAUUGCCAGAUUGUUACAACUGAAAAAAGAGAAAGCCAAAUCAUUAUCAGAUUUAACAUGUGAAAGGCGGGUACUCUAAUUUCUUAUGAUGGGAAGUGCAGCUUCUAGAAAUUUCACAAGUUCCUGAAGAGCAUGUGAGUUUUGUUUCUUUUUUAGGGAGAGAAAUAGCAACAUGCUUUUAUUGAAAUGUCUAUUAUAACAUCCUACUUUCAAUUUGUAAUUAGAUAUUUGUUAAUUGUUAUCCAUGAAUUAUAAUUUUA